AAGUCUAUGCUGGCUGCUCCCUCAGCUCUUCGGACAGUUCCUCGGGCGUUCCCAGCUGCUGUUUGGGCGUUCCCAGCUGCUGUUCCCAGCCCUGGUGCUGAGCAGGUCCCUGGAUGAAACUGAAGCCCUCAGGGCUCAUGCUGUCGCUUUCCAUUUCCAUUGACAUUCCCAUCCUUUCUCUGAGCCUCAGUUUCUACAUCAGGAAAACGGGUUGAGGGAGGGCCAGGACCCAGCCCGUGCUUGAUGGAGGGAGCCAGUGACGGCUGCUCCAUCUCCUCCUGCUGGCCACAACCCCGUCGGUCAGCUGCGGGCUCUGUUCCGCCCUGGCCUCUCCGAGGACUCAGCUCCCCACGUGGCCACCUGGGCGUGGGCCCCACCACGCACAGAGCCCCAUUCAGCAUGAAAAGUCUGCUCUGCUUAGUCUCGUCUGUUUACAGCAGACGAUAGAACUUGAUCUCAAAUUAUAGGCCACUCAGCUCAGCGCGGUUUAUUACGCACAAACUCACUUGGAUGGCUAUAAAUAACCCUCACCACACAGACCCCAGGACUCCUCCGGAAGGAAGCUGCUGAUUUUGAAUAAGAGGUAAUGGAAACUCAAAUUGAUGCUAAUGAAUUUUACUGCGUGGAGAGGAUGCUGCGCCAGGGUGGCUGUGGUCAGUGGGGCUCAAUCAGGAAAACCCAAUGCACUGAGCAGCCUUAUGGCUGUUUACGGACCAGACUGAGAGGGGCCAGGACCCUGCUCAUUCCUCAUCCCUCAGCCCCAGGAUGGGAGAGGCUCAGAGGGCGUUUAAAUACACACACACACACACACACACACACACACACAGAAAUGAAGGCAUCUGGGCUGCCUGUGAAGGCAGAUAUUUUCCGAGGUAAAGAACCUGCCUGCCAAUGCAGGAGACGAGGUUCGAUCCCUGGGUCGGGAAGACCCCUGGAGAAGGAAAUGGCAACCCACUCCAGUAUUCUUGCCUGGAGAAUUCCAUGGACAGAGCAGCCUGGCAGGCUACAGUCCACGCGGUCACAAAGAAUUGGACAUGACUGAGCGCACAAUCUUCAGAAUGAAAGAAGAAGUCUGGGGCCGGGCUGCAGAGGUCGGGGCGGGGAGAGUUCCCAGCAGGCUGCUCUGUCUGUAAAAGUCAGGCCCCA
rnacentral:lncRNA from 1 species